AGCUUUGCGCAGUGGUAGUAUCAUAGCCUAUGAGGUCUAUCCGAGGCGUGAUUAUUGCUAGUUGAAAACUUUAACCAAUACCCCGCCUUGACGUCUUGAAAUAUAGUCGGCGAUGGCAAUUUUUGGUAGUCUCUGUGGAGG
ensembl:snRNA U4 U4 spliceosomal RNA